GGGAAAGUUGAAAAGAACUUUGAAGAGAGAGUUCAAGAGGACGUGAAACCACUAGUGGCGAAGCGGAUAGAGUUGACGAAACUGGUGCAAUCAGUGUUGGGUGUCACUGUGUUGCUGCUGUGUCUGGGCUCUGCGGUCUGCGGAGUGAGGCGUGGUAGUGAUGCGGCCCGGCAUGCAUUUGCGACCGGUAGCGCUGAGGCGCUAGAUGGCCCCUGGCGAAACUGCGGGUGUUGCCCACUCUCGGGUGGUGUCUUGUCCGUGGUGGAGGCUUGUUUGUGGCCGUUUAGUGUUGCGAAAGCGCGCGCUCUGCGUCUGUGCGGUAGCUGUGUUACGUGCGUUCGUGUAAUGCGGUGACUUGUCACUUGUGUUGCAUGUUGCGUAUGUGUUCACUCUAUUGCGUUGAGUGCGUUCUCGGUGGAAAAGUCGACCACCUAUCCGACCCGUCUUGAAACACGGACCAAGAAGUGUAGUAAUUGCGCGAGUCAUUGGGUGUUAAACCUAUUGGCGUAAUGAAAGUAAAGCUGGCCUUGCGUCAGUGAUAUGCGAUCCGUGUGUCUUCGGACAUGCGGCGCAGCAUAGCCCCAUGCCAGUUGCUUGCAACGGUGUGGAGGUAGAGCGUAAUUACUGCGACCCGAAAGAUGGUGAACUAUGCCCGAGCAGGAUGAAGCCAGAGGAAACUCUGGUGGAAGUCCGAAGCGGUUCUGACGUGCAAAUCGAUCGUCUGACUUGGGUAUAGGGGCGAAAGACUAAUCGAACCAUCUAGUAGCUGGUUCCUUCC
rnacentral:rRNA from 1 species